UCACUUACCUGCUGGAAAAAUAGAUGUACAGAAAGUUAUUCCACAGAUUGACUUACUACUGAAAAAUAAUAUAUACAGACAGGCGUUCCAAUGAUUGACUUGCCUGAUGAAAAAGAACAUAUAGAAAGGUAUCCCAUUCACUUGCUGAAAAAAUAGAUAUACAAACUUAUUCCACGGAUUGACUUCCCUGCUGAAAAAAAUACAUAGAGAAAGGUCUUCCACUGACUUAGAUGCUUCUUUCCGCACCUGUUCACGCACUCGCCGACCUGGUCACGGCUACGAACCAAGGCAAUCUCAGACUCGUCCGGCUCUCACAUCUACUAUUUCCAAAGACCGAAAAGGAGACCAGGCGGGUUCUGAGAGUUCUAUUAGGCUGUCAUUCUCACAUGCUUCCGGCUCUCACAUUAAUCCUUUACAAAGGCCGAAAAGGAGACCAGGCGGGUUUUAAUGAGUUUUUUUAUGGUCAUGAUGCAGGAAGGGUCAAACUACCACCAGGGUCAUAACACUGCCCAUGGAAAUGCUCAGAACUCCUAUGGAAGCCUUGUAAAAUAUCUGUGCGUGCUUGGGCGCCGAAAUGUUUAAGAAUGUGACCCUAGGUGUAUAGGAAACGGAAGGAGUGGAUGAGAGUAAAUACAAAGUGUCGUAUGCCUGCAGGAAAAUAAAAUGCCUACCUGCUUGAUCUAGUAUGCUUGUCAGUUGUAUAUGUGGCCAAGUCUGUGGAUCAAGAAAGUAAGAUAACAAAGGGAGUGUAUAAGAGGAAAUGUAAAGUUUGUCAUAAUACUAACAGGAAAUAUAGAGUACAUAGCACCUGCCUGAUUCUUUACUUAAUUCUAUAGCUACCUGGUGAAGGCUAUGGACCAAAGGAGUAAGAUAACAGAAGGAGAGUAUAAUUAUGAGUUAAUGUAGUAAAGUUUCUCAUAAUACUAUCAAAGCAAUGGAAUACAUAACACCUGCCUUGUUCUACACCGUUAGCACACCUACGUACACCUGCUCACAAAGGUAGAAGGUAAUAAAAGGAGUGAAGACAAAUGAAUGUAAAGUUUGUCUCAAUACUAGCAAGGCAAUGGAAUACAUAACACCUGCCUUGUUAUACACCUGUUAACUCACCUGCUCACAAAGGUGGAAGAUAAUAAAAGGAGCGAGUACGAGUGAAUGUGAAGUUUGCAAGGACAUGGCAUACAUAACACCUGCCUGACACCUGCUUGGAGGAAGAAGUAAAGAAAAGUAUAUUUCCAAAGCUGUAGGGAAAGAAUAAUACUUCCAGGGAAACAAUGCAAGGAAGAAGACACUUAAAAAAAGGUAUCUUUCCAAAGCUAUGAAGAGAAUAAUGGUUGCAGGGAUAAAGAAGAAAAAGCUCAAGGUAUAUUUCCAGUUAUAAAGAAAAUAAUGGUUGCAGGGAUAAAGAAGAAAAGUUCAAGGUAUAUUUCCAGUUAUAAAGAAAAUAAUGGUUGCAGGGAUAAAGAAGAAAAGCUCAAGGUAUAUUUCCAAAGUUUAACAAAGACUAAGGCUUCCAGAACUAAUUUAAAGGUGCACUGACGAAGCUAAAGACACCGCGGCGGGCGAGUGGGCCGCAGGAACGAACAGCCGGGUCGGUAUUCUCAGACGCUUCUGCCUCUUACACCAACUCCUUCCAAAGACCAAAACGGAGAUCAUUCGGGUUCUCAUGAGCGUUUCUUUAGGUUCAUGGUACAGAAGCAGGGUCAAACUACCACCAGGGUCAUAAUACUACCCAUGGAAAUGCCCAAAACUCCUGCGAAAGCCGAUUUUUUUUUCUUCUAAGAAUAUGGCCCUUAGGAUCUUCCACUGAUUUCUUUGAUGAAUUUGAAUGUUAGGUUUACAAUGAUUUAUUUUCUCGAGUUUUAACGGCUUCACGACAGCAGGGAACCGUUAGUGGAGUUUGCUGUGACGACUCAGUGAUUCCCAACCUUUCUUUUCUUGCCGCCCCAAUCAUGAUCCUGAAGCCAUGACUGUGACCCCACUGGUUAGAUCGCACACACACACACACACACACACACACACACACACACACACACACACACACACACACACACACACACACACAUAGGUCCUCGCAGUACCCAUAAAUCGACGAUAAAGAGCACUUGCUCAUGUCGGUAGGGUACCUACUGGCGAUUACGAGUCCAACACGUGAUCAGGCCGUGGUGAAUUACACACCCACACACACACCAGAGGACCACUCCCACAUCAUCCACAUCACACCCACCCACAGAUCACUAUACUCCAUCCACGUUAGCUAGGCAGACAAGCCCCGCCCCCUCCCCUAUUUAAAGUAUCAUUGGCCAAUCCACGAGCUCCCUCACCCCCUUUGACUGUCGGGUGGAUGCUGGGAAAGGUCAGCUCCUAUUGGCCGUUGCUGGGCGGGUGUGGGCGGGGCUUCUCUGCCUCUCUAAUGUGAAUAGUUACCGGACAGGCAGAUGAGUCAAAAGAUGAUGAUAAUGAUGAUGAUGAUGAUGUUGAUUAUGUUAAGCUCGUACAAGAUGUUUUACCUUAAUUUAACUUGUGCUGUGCUAUACAAUGAUUAUUCACCUAUUUGUGGGUGUAUACAUAUUACUACUUGACCUGUUUUGGUUAGGGAGACCACAUCCAUAUUACAUAGCACAUGCGUUGACCAAGAGUGUAACCAGCUAAUGUUCUUGUAUUGGCUUCGCGUCAGUGUGGGGUUGUGAACAGUGAAGUUGUAAAUACAGUUGUGAGUACAGUUUUAGUCUUCUACAUCCAUAAUACUUAUUCUACAGACAUUGAUCAAUAUUGUAACCAGCCUGUGUUCUUAUAUUGGCUUAGCGUCAGUGUUAGGUUGUGAAGAGAAAGAUUGUAGGUUUAACGUUAUCAUAUGAGUUUGGAAGUACAGAUUGCAAGUACAGUUGUGAAUACACAUACUACAGACAUUGAUCAACAGUGUAACCAGCUUGUGUUCUUAUACUGUCUAGUCACAGCGUUUGGUUGUGAGGAGAACGGCUGGAAGUAUUACGGUGUUCGCUUCGGCAUAAUGUAAGCAAAGGCCGAUGAGUCAGCCAGCGUGUGUUUGCUAUGAUCGGUGUUUGGUUCUGAAAGCCUUGCAGUAUUCCAGCUCUCAGUGUAUUCUUACUAGCGGCCCGUGAUGUAACCAGUGUAAGUGUGUAGUAUUGGCCUAGGAUCUGUGUUGGGUUGUGAACUGAGUCUGAGAGGUCUAAUGUAUUCCGCCUCACUAUGUAAACUCACUAGAGGCUAACCUGUGUGUGUGUGUGUGUGUGUGUGUGUGUGUGUGUGUGUUGCUAAAAACCGCUGUUGCUUCACUCCCCCUAGCACCUGAGUUCCUUGGAUUCCGUAGCUGUUAUCAAUGUCCUUUCCGUUGUCUCGCAAGGUCACUAUAGCAAGGCAUACACCAAGGCACCGUCACGUGUAGACCUCCACCUCACUAUUCUAAACGCCUACCCACUACUCCUGGUCACCCCGUGCGCUCUGUACACGUUAGCUUGGGCAUAAGGUAAGCCCCUCCCCGUUGCCCACAAAGAAUAUAGCUUUGGCAAUUCCACAAGCAAGUCUCGCCCCCCAAACUCUGCCUGGGAACAAUUACUGGUGGAUGCCGGGACGGGCUGAAUCGUAUUGGUGGAUCCUGGGAUGGUGGUCGGGGCUUACUCGCCACCUUAGCGUCAACGGAGUGUAUGAACCUAUUAUAGUAAAUGAGGUUUAUAUUUUCAUGUGAUUACUCCUUUGUCAUACACCUUUCACACCCUGCUCUCCGCCUCCUCCUCCUCCUCCUCCUCCUCCCUCCUCCUCCUCUUUUAGCUCCGCUGGUUAUACCAUUCACGGUUUUUGAUGUGCGUGUCGUAGUAGAGGAAAACAGUUUUAAAAGUAUAUAUUAUAACCAUGAAUCUUCUGUGAUAUGUACCACAAUGCAACCCUUGUCCGGGGCAGGGCGGGACGCGGGGCGAGGCCAGAUCCGAGCCACCUACCGGGGCCUCAACACUGCUGCUACUACUACUACUACUACUAGUGCUGCUACUACUACUACUACUUCUACUACUACUACUACUAUUUUAUCAGUAUUAUUUGUCAAUAUGUAAGAUUUUUUGUUUCAUUGGUUACUUUUUACGCUCCCCUACAUCUCUCUCUCUCUCUCUCUCUCUCUCUCUCUCUCUCUCUCUCUCUCUCUCUCUCUCUCUCUCUCUCUCUCUCUCACACACACACACACACACAUACACACACGCACACCACCAUCAUAACUGCCUCUUUCUCUCCUUAUUCCUCCUUACCACUUAGCACUUCACUGUUCCUCCUCCUCCUCCUCCUCCUCUCUUCAGUUAUCCACCUCGCCCUUCAUAGCAAGUGCACAGAAGGGUCAGAAUGAAGCUUCACUGAGGUGCUUUCCGCCUCUCUGUCCUGACGAGUACGUUGGGGAAGGCCACGUCUGGCACACUCUUGGACAGCUCGGGUCUGGCCUCCAGUUCGAAACCCUCUCCCCGGAACCUCUGUACACUAUAAGAUAACGAUAAUAAUAAUGCUAAUGAUAAAACAACCUGAUUACCAUGGAAGGUUGCCUAUUUUGUUAUGGCUCUGAUAAUAAUAAUAAUGAUAAUAUAGAUAAAUUCAUAGGAUCAGCAGAAAGAUUAUUUUUUAUAUUAUUUCCAUUCCCAAAACCUAGAAAGAAAGAAAAAAAAAAAUCAAGGUGGGCAAAAAAAUGAAGUUUGAAGUACCGGAUAAAAACAAUGCUUGGGUCGUUUCCUGAUAUAUAUUGAAAAUUAACCUUGUGUAUUUGUUUGUCUGUCUAUUUGUUUGUUUGUCUGAUCUUCUUAGUUGACAAAGGCGACCAGUCCUCCUUGGGUGAGUAACAUCAAAACUGUGGUGGUCUGUCAAUAAUAAAACAAGACCGUGUGUG